rnacentral:rRNA from 1 species
CCCUACGGGGUGCACCAGGCGCGAAACCUCCACAAUACGCGAAAGCGUGAUGGGGUUACCCCGAGUGCCGUCCGUUGAGGAGGGCUUUUCCCCAGUGUAAGGAGCUGGGGGAAUAAAGGGGGGGCAAGACUGGUGUCAGCCGCCGCGGUAAUACCAGCCCCCUGAGUGAUAGGGACGAUUAUUUAGCCUAAAGCGUUCGUAGCCGGCUUAGCAAGUCUUUCGUUAAAUCUGACGACUUAAUCGUCAGGCCGCGGAAGAUACUGCUAGGCUAGAGGGCGGGAGAGGUCGACGGUAGUCCCGGGGUAGGGGUGAAAUCCUAUAAUCCCGGGAGGACCACCAGUGGCGAAGGCGGUCGACCAGAACGCGCCUGACGGUGAUGGACGAAAGCUGGGGUAGCGAACCGGAUUAGACACCCGGGUAGUCCCAGCCGUAAACGAUGCGGGCUAGGUGUUGGGGCAGCUACGAGCUGCCUCAGUGCCGCAGAGAAGUCGUUAAGCUCGCCGCUUGGGAAGUACGGCCGCAAGGCUGAAACUUAAAGGAAUUGGCGGGGGAGCACCACAAGGGGUGAAGCCUGCGGUUCAAUUGGAGUCAACGCCGGGAAACUUACCAGGGCUGACAGCAGGGUGAAGGCCAGAUUAAAGAUCUUACCAGACAAGCUGAGAGGUGGUGCAUGGCC